GACGAACGCUGGCGGCGUGCCUAACACAUGCAAGUGGAGCGACGAACCAGGCUUCGGCCUGGGGCAAAGCCGCGAACGGGUGAGUAACACGUGGGUAACCUGCCCUGAUGAUUGGGACAACCCGAGGAAACUCGGGCUAAUACCAAAUGUGCCCUUCGGCCAUAAGGCCGCCGGGGAAAGGAAGCUUCGGCCUCCGCAUCUGGAUGGGCCCGCGGCCCAUUAGCUUGUUGGUGAGGUAACGGCNCACCAAGGCGACGAAUGGGUAGCUGGUCUGAGAGGACGAUCAGCCACACUGGGACUGAGACACGGCCAGACUCCUACGGGAGGCAGCAGUGGGGAAUCUUGCGCAAUAGCGCGAAAAGCGUGACGCAGC
rnacentral:rRNA from 1 species